GCCACGUGCUCCAAAUUUGAGAGAUCGUGCUAAUGCGCUUCUGGAGAUGGAACUUGCUGCCCUCGGUAAAAGUCUGAAUUCUAAAGCUGCUCGCAAGACUGCAAAGAAGGAUAGGGAAAAUAUUCCAAAAGCUUCUACAUCACGUGGCUUGGAUAGAAAGGGGAAACCAGGUUCUCCUAAGGUUAACGUAAAAUUGAGGGACCGAACUUCUAGACCACAGAGAGUUGAGAACCUCGUGAAAGAAGAGGGCGAAAUGUCUGACAACGAAGAAGUAUAUGAGCAUUU
rnacentral:misc_RNA from 1 species